GGGAAGUGACUGAUUCGGAAAAAUAUUAUGAGAAUUAUUGUUUUCGAAUAUCAGUUUUUAUGAAGAUAUACGAGUGCGAGGGAUUUAGCAAAUAUUUGAGCAUGAUUGAUUUAUCGAGAUUUAUUGGGUUUUGAAUUCCGCACUUAUCAGACUUGGGUUAGAUGGAGCUUUCUUUCCGAAAGCAAUUAUUGAAUUAUAGAGUAUGUGAUUAUGCUUUCGAGGAUUUAUUGAGAUAUCGAGGAUUGAGUUAUGAUUGAAAGAGGUUAUGUUCAGUUCUUGAGGAGGCUAUUCAGUUUAUUAAGGAGGCCAGUUUUGG
rnacentral:lncRNA from 1 species